rnacentral:tRNA from 1 species
CUUCCGUGCGGCGCGGCUUUCCGUGCGGCGCGGCUUUCCGUGCGGCGCGGCUUUGGCGUGAUCCGCGGUUCAGGCCCUGAUGGUGGUC